CUCUCUCUUCGGCUUGUUUCUUCUUUGUUGACUAGGUUCCUCCUCCUGCGGCAAGGUCCUGCUCCUACACUUACUCCUCCUUCGCAAGGUGCUCCGGCCGUCCUGCGGCAAGGUCUUGCUCCUACACUUACUCCUCCUUCGCAAGGUGCUCCGACCAUCCGGCGGCAAGGUGCCCCUGGUGGUCCCCUCCUCGUCUUUCAGUUAACUCGAAUGUCUUGAUACUGCUGUAGACCAGUUAACCUCGUCCAACUUAAAUUAUCGUGCACAUAUCCUUUUUCCUAUAGGUUCAGGUUAUCUGAUUGCAUUAUUGAGUUCAGAUUAUUCAGUUCUAAUAUCAGAUUAGGUGAAUUAUAUUACAACUUCUCUGAAAUUCAGUUCAGAUUAUCCAACCUUUAAUGUAUAGGUGUAGUUUCUAGCAUUUCACGGUAUGAAUUACAAGGUUGUUGAUUCAGUGGAAGUUUGGUCCAUGAUAUUCCAUGAAGGCUGAAAAAUUGGAUGCUUUCUUGUAUACUGCUAAAUAAAUUUAGUAUGAUUGUUAUGCAUAGGGAGAAGAAAAUUUGCCCCAGCGACAGCCUCCGUUCAGAUGGCCUUUUUGGCUGGAGUAUGUAGUCCCUUUGGGCAGGGAAGUCAUGGGCUUUUUUUUUACAUCAGGGCCUAGAAGCUAAUUGAUGUAGGAAGACGAGAGCCAACCAUGCGAGGCAGAAAUCAAUUUAUCGCCGCUAGGCGCGCAGCCAUGACUCGUUUUUUCCGGUCAUUUUCUCAUGUGUUUAUCUAUUCAGGCCACGCACCAAGGACGGGAAAACACACCAACCCAGACCACUCGACCGAUCGAUCAGUCACUAUAGUAAUUACUCACUACUAAUUUGAGGCAUGUCUACAUCAGAGGGUUCGGAGAGUGCUGAUUCCAUGGAUGAGAAUACGAGUCAAGUACCACAUGCUAGAAGGUCCAAGGUAUGGGAGCAUUAUGAAGUAGAUCUGGUUCUCGUAGAUGGUGAUCUCAAGGUGUGUGCAAAUACUAUGGAGCGCAACUUCACACCAAGUUUGGGACUAGCAGUUUGAGGACCCAUAUUGCAGAGGCUUGCCGAUCAAUUCAGGAGGCUUGCAGGAAGAGGUUUUUAUUGACCAUGAAAAGAAAACCAUCCAAAGUUUGAAGAUCCCCACCUUCAGCCAUGGAUUGACUGAAUGCAACCAACAUUUCAAAUCAAGGGUAGCCACACAAUUCAUGAUGAUGCAGUGAAGAUGUAUAAGGGAAUGAAGAAAGAUAUCGAAGUAGAGCUACAAAACUUGGUCCUCGCAUUUGCUUAACAUUUGACAUGUGGACAUCAUCACAGGACUUGGGCUACAUGUCAAUCACCGCCCAUUAUAUCAAUGCAGAAUUCAACUACAAGAAGAAGACCAUAAGUUUCGCAGAAGUGAAGUAUCCCCACACAGGCUAUGUGAUAGAAGAAGAAAUAGUUCGUUGCUUAACAGAAUGGGGCAUAAGGGGCAAAUUAUUCACUUUGACACUAGAUAAUGCCAGCAUAAUACUAAUGCAUGUGAGGAGUUAAUAAAAUAUCACAAACAUGAGCUGCUCCUUGAAGGUCAACAUUUGCAUGUCAGGUGUUGUGCGCACAUUUUUAAUAUCUUGGUUUAGGAUGGAAUGAAAAUAAUCCAUGCAGCUAUUGACAUCAUACCUGAGCUGCUGAAGUA